rnacentral:rRNA from 1 species
AUCACGAGGGCUUAGCUGUCUCCUCCUCCCAAUCAAUUAAAUUGAUCUCCCCGUGCAGAAGCUGGGAUAAUACCAUAAGACGAGAAGACCCUAUGGAGCUUUAGACAUAUCAGGUUUACGUCACUGCCCCCUAGAUAAAGGAGUGAACUAAUUAUAUACCUUGAAAAUGUUUUUGGUUGGGGCGACCACGGGAAAAGAAAUAACUCCCACGGCGAAGAAGUACAAACUUUUAAAGCUAAGACAAUCAAGUCUAAGCCAUAGAAAUUCUAACAAAUGAUCCGGCUUGCCGAUCAACGAAACGAGUUACCCUAGGGAUAACAGCGCAAUCCCCUUUAAGAGACCUUAUCAGCAAGGGGGUUUACGACCUC